UGAACGCUGGCGGCGUGCCUAAUACAUGCAAGUCGAGCGAACGGACGAGAAGCUUGCUUCUCUGAUGUUAGCGGCGGACGGGUGAGUAACACGUGGAUAACCUACCUAUAAGACUGGGAUAACUUCGGGAAACCGGAGCUAAUACCGGAUGAUAUUUUGAACCGCAUGGUUCAAAAGUGAAAGACGGUCUUGCUGUCACUUAUAGAUGGAUCCGCGCUGCAUUAGCUAGUUGGUAAGGUAACGGCUUACCAAGGCAACGGUGCAUAGCCGACCUGAGAGGGGGAUCGGCCACCCGGGAACUAGAAAACGGCCCGAACCCCAAGGGGGGGAGGCAGAGGGAAACUUUCCGCAAGGGCGAAAGCCCGAAGGGGGCAACCCCGGUGAGUGAAUAAGGGUUUUCGGAUCGAAAACCCUUUUUUUUGGGAAAAAAAAAUGGGUAAAUAAAUUUGCACCUUUUGAGCGGUCCCAAUCCAAAAAGCCGCGGCAAACCACGG
rnacentral:rRNA from 1 species